rnacentral:rRNA from 1 species
UGGGGAAUAUUGGACAAUGGGCGCAAGCCUGAUCCAGCCAUGCCGCGUGAGUGAUGAAGGCCCUAGGGUUGUAAAGCUCUUUCACCGGUGAAGAUAAUGACGGUAACCGGAGAAGAAGCCCCGGCUAACUUCGUGCCAGCAGCCGCGGUAAUACGAAGGGGGCUAGCGUUGUUCGGAUUUACUGGGCGUAAAGCGCACGUAGGCGGACUAUUAAGUCAGGGGUGAAAUCCCGGGGCUCAACCCCGGAACUGCCUUUGAUACUGGUAGUCUUGAGUUCGAGAGAGGUGAGUGGAAUUCCGAGUGUAGAGGUGAAAAUCGUAGAUAUUGGGAGGAACACCAGUGGCGAAGGCGGCUCACUGGCUCGAUACUGACGCUGAGGUGCGAAAGCGUGGGGAGCAAACAGG